rfam:Acanthamoeba castellanii str. Neff unplaced genomic scaffold scf7180000084669, whole genome shotgun sequence.
GGCACUUUAGCUUAGUGGUAGAGCGUCAGUCUUGUAAACUGAAGGUCAUGGGUUCAAUCCCCAUAAGUGCCU